AUACGGAGGGAGCGAGCGUUAAUCGGAAUUACUGGGCGUAAAGCGCGCGUAGGCGGCUUUGUAAGUCGGAUGUGAAAGCCCUGGGCUCAACCUGGGAAUUGCAUUCGAUACUGCAGAGCUAGAGUAUGGUAGAGGGAAGUGGAAUUUCCGGUGUAGCGGUGAAAUGCGUAGAUAUCGGAAGGAACACCAGUGGCGAAGGCGACUUCCUGGGCCAAUACUGACGCUAAGGUGCGAAAGCGUGGGGAGCAAACAGGAUUAGAAACCCCAGUAGUCC
rnacentral:rRNA from 1 species